UGCUGGUCCCCAAAGGUAUCUGGUUCUAAUCACUGGAAGUUGUGAAUGUUACCUUAUAUGGCAGAAGAGACUUUGCAGCUGUGAUUAAGGAACUUGAGGUGGGGACUCUGUCGGUUAAUUUUAUGUGCUGACUUCACCGGCCAUGGUGAGUCCAGAUUCAACGUGAUUUCCUGGUGUGUCUGCGAGAGUGUUUCCAGAUGAAUUCCAGAGAUUAGAAUUUGAACCCGUGGACUCAGUGGAGGUAGGCAUCCUCCAAUCCUUUGAGGGCCUAAAGAGAGCAAAAGGCUGAGGAAGGAGGAAUUUGCCCUUUCUUUUUUCCUGUCUCACUGUUGAGCUGGGACAUCUCCUGUCAUCUCCUUCUGUUCUCAGACUGGGAUUUGCAACAUCAGAGCCUCUAAUUCAUGGAUCUUCAACCUCAGACUGAAUCACACCAGCUUUCCUGGGUUUCCAGCUUGCAGACUGUGAGACUUCCUAACCUCCAGAAUCACAUGAGCCAAUUCCCCAUAAUCAUAUAUGUAUGUGGAUCUAUAUAUCUCCUAUUGGCUUUUCCAGAUAACCCUGACUAAUACGAAGUCAAGGAACAUUAUCCUGGAUCAUCUGAUGCUCCAUACAUGUAAUCACGAGUAUCUUUUAAGAGGAAGGUGGAGGCAGACUUGCGGAGAGAAAAGGAGAAAGAGAUGUAACCACAGAGCAGCGACUGGCAUCAUGAAGCUACCAACCAAGGAAUGCUGAUGGCCUCUAGCAGCUGGAAGAACAAGGAAUCCGAUUCUGCCCUUGGACCUCCAGAAGGGGCCAUCCCACCUGACUCUUUGAUUUCAGCCCUGUGAGCCUCAUUUUGGAAUCUAGUCUCCUAGAACUCCUUAAUAGGAGCCUAUUGACUGAGAGAAGUGGAAGUUACCAUUUGCUAAUGGACCAAUGAAGUGGACGCUGUGAUGAGUGGCCCAGAUCCUGUGAGUCAUGUCAUCCCUGACGCUGGAGGUACAGACAGCCCUCACCUGCCAGUGCUCUCCUGGAACUGACUUCCUAGGAGGCAUUUCCCCUCUCAAAGUUACAGCCCUCCCCAGGGCAGCCUGUAUGCACUGAUUGGUGGAUGCACCAACAGACAGUCCAGGCUGUACCACUGCAGUGUGGGAGCACCUGGGGGACUGUCCCAGUUCCAGGGCUCCCCCUUAGAGUUGGCUAAGACUGCACCACAGCCCAACUAGGGCAACCAAGGAUGAGCUUCUCAGAACUGCCUGCCUGAGGAAACCUGCCUCCAGGAUGCCAGCCACUGGCAGCCUCCAGGCACAUGUGUCUCCAGGAUCUGCUUUAGCUUUCUAGGUGGGGCUAUGUGCUUCCUGGGCAGAUGCUGGGCAGUGACUGAGCAUGUCAAUGUGCAAGGGCUUGCCGAUUCUGCAAAGCUAGGAUGCCUCUAUGCUUACCUCUGCUCUGGAGCUCCCCAUUGGGAAGACUGAGAUUUUCUCACUGCUGCUCUGAGUUCAGAGGCUCCAGCUCUCCAGUCCUCCUUCAUGACCUUUCUUCCUUCUCAGGGGACACAUCUGCACUGCUGCAGGCUCUCCCUGCUGCUUCUGCUCUCUCUCUCCCUUAUUCUUCUCAGGCUCUGUCUUCCUUUCAUCUCCUGCACAUCUCUCUCUGACUUGGUGGGUGUCCCUGGGAGAGGCUGAAGCGUCACACCACUGGGUCUCAUUCCCUGCUCCUGCUCCUUCUCUUCCCUUGCAUGGGACAGGGUUGAUGCCAACAGCACUCCCCAAUACCUUUAUGUGUUCACUUCUACCUCAGUGUCAGUGUCUAGGAAGACCAGCGUGCAACAGGUGGCAUCAGGAGGGUGACCAACUAGCCUGGUUUACCUGAGACUGAUGGGUAUCUCGGGAAAGGGAGUGAUCAGGCUUAAAACUGGGACAGUCCUGGGCUACUCUAGGUGCACGAGUGUCUGGAAAAGAGAGAGAGAAAUGGGAUUCUGGAGCAAUGAAGCCCCCAGUUGGGGGACUGGGGAUGGGAGUACCCAGAGCAAUACAGUUCAAAUUUUUACUGGAGACGAACAGAGAUGAUUUACCUGUAGGAGGAAAUGCAAAAGCAGAGCCUUGUGUCAGGCAUUUGAGAAAUAUAAAGAGAAGAGUACUUUUAAGGAAUGUGGGGAAAACCCUACUGCUUUCACUGCAGUGAGAGUGUUGCUAAGUGCAACUGAUAAUUUGCAAAAGUUAAAUGGGAGUAAAAAUCAUCAAGGACAAACUAAGAGUAAAAGCCAGAAAUCCUCCUUGGUUGAAAAAGACUCUUAUCUGCACAGAAAGAAGUCAGGGAAAGCUGAGGCCCAGAACUUAGUCCUAAGAGUAGCAGACCUCCAGAAAACAGUGACCUCUCUACUGGGCAGCUUUGCUAUGCCCCUGAAUGGAUAACUACAGAUCCGGAGUCACAAGGGGGGGUCAAUGUGGAUCCAAGCUCCCAAAAGUCUUGAAUCAAUAAUUUCCCUGAUACAUUCAAGCUGACAGAAGCGGACCCCUCUUAAUCAUUAGGGCCUAUCCUUACCUUCCCUUUGCUUGAAGAUGGGGUGGAAGUUUGAAUGUGAAUAUGAAUGUAAUACUCACCACCCCCAACACCCCAGGAUCCAUCCCUUGCUGCCAUGCAGGCCUGUGGGCCAAUAAGUAGGAUUAUGUCAUCACAAAACAUAGACAGGAGUGUGCAGGGCCUGCUGGGGGAUUAGGAGCUGCAGAACCAGCCAACACAUGGUAGGACCUGGAAGAGCAUGCAUGGAGCUGAAUUGUGAGGAUGCAAGGUCAAGGGGCAAAAGCUCAGACUGGAUGAGGGAAGUUUAUCUCCUAGAAGCACUCUCAACUGGCAAGGAUGUUGAGACAGUCUGCAGGCUCUCUGCUAGAACGACAACCCUUAGAAAGACCAAGAAAAUGAUGUCUUCAGAAACAUCUAGCAGGAGUGGCUCUACCAGUUCUGGUGGUCAGAGGUCUGAAAUCACCAACACUGGGCCGACAUCAAGCUGCCACACUCCCUCCAGAGGCUCUAAGAGUGGAUCCAAUCCUUACCUUUUCCAGUUGCUGCUGGUAGCCACUAUUCCUUGACCUGCGGCUCCAUUGCUCCAAUGUCUGCUUUCUCCUUCAUGUGGCCAUCUCCUGCAUGUGUGUGUGUAUGUGUGUGUGUGUGUGUGUGUGUGUGUGUGUGUAAUGUCCCUGUGUCUCUCUCAUAGGAACAUUUGUGAUGUAAUUUACGGCCCACCCAAAUGAUUUAGGAACUCUUCCCAUCUGAAGUUCCUUAAUUUAAUCAUAUCUGCAUAAGACCUCUCUCCAAAUGUGAUAACAAUUAUUACAUUACAAUAUUACAAGGACUUGUAAAUGAUUAUACCUAAUAUCUUUGGGGCCACCAUUCAGCUCUUGACUCCCCACAUACAACUUUGUGUUAAAAAAAAAUCAUAUAUCUCUUCAAGGUGGAACCAGAGUCGGAGAUUGUCCAGACAGCGCUCCCCUCUGACAAGGAGUCCUUGAAGCUGGACCCUCAGGGUGAGGCUCCAUUGAGCUCU